CGCGUUCGUGCGGUGUAACGGUUUCGCAAGGUCAUUGUGUCUCUCCACUGAUUAUGGCACCACCGAAAAAGUUAACACGUGAAGAAAAAUUACAGAAGAAACGUGAAGCAGAGAAAAUACGAUAUCAAAAGAUUAAAAAUGAUCCAGAAAAGUAUGAAUUGCAAAUCAAAAAGAAAAAGAAAAAUAUUUUAAAAAGAAGGAGAAAGGAAUUAUAAAAUCUGUCGAUCAAAUGACUCCUAGAGAGCAACGUAAAGCACGAAAGAUAUAGUUGUAUUUUAUAAUUAAAACAUAUUCAUUUAUUUUCGUUUUAGAUUUGAAAAAAAGGCAAGGAAAGGAUUUUUUGUUCAUAUAGGCAAGAGAAGGCCUUCAAUUUGCUAUAUUAUAAUUGUAUUUUAUAAUUAAAACAUGUUCAUUUAUUUUCGUUUUAGUUUUGAAAAAAGGCUGUAAUUAGAUAGUAUAAAAUUAGUGAUAAAUAAUUAUUAAAAGUCUGAUUUAUGAUUAAUACGAUACCUAGCCUGAUUAAUAAAUAAAUACAUGUGAUAAAAAAUGUUGCCUGAUUAUAAGUUUCAAGUACAAUCUUUAAUAAAAGUCGAUUAUUUAUAUUGUA